rnacentral:lncRNA from 1 species
UAGUGGGCAGGUCAGGCUAAGCUGGUUUGCAGCAUCUGAGAGGUGUGGGUCCCUAGGCCCCUGAGAGCUGAACUGAGCAGAGAACUGCAGGGCCCAGGUCCAAAGAAGAGAUGAAUUGGCCCAGGGCUACACAGCAGAGCAAGGGAGUUAGAGGGUCCUUGGCUAGCACGCUAUCUAUCGUUCUACCCUGCCUCUCACUGCCUGCCUUGCCUCUCUCUCUCUUCCCUUUUCAACAUCCUGCCUGCCUUUGUUGUUAAGAUGGCCAAAUAAUUCAUUUACUCUAAAUUGAUUGCCUGAGAGCUGCUGAGUGUCAGGCUGUGGGGAGGAAGUCUCCAUACCCAGGACAGAGGCCCUUGAGUACAGGGGCUGCCUUUUUCCUGCCUGGAUCAUCACCGUCUCUGCACAGCUCUGGUGGAAUUGAUGCUUUCUGUUGGAAAGCCAAGCCUUGUGGAGACAGAUUUUUGGGCUUCCAGUCGCUGGAUUGGAUGGAACCCUUGACCCCCUAGGCCAGGCCUUACUGUAGCUGUGCCAGGCAGCUCCUUUGCAGUUUGGCCCCGGCCACUCUUAGGAAAGACUGUUAAGAAUAUUCGCUGGCCAGAGGAAAGGACCUCAUGGGCUUUACAAACGUCCCACCGUCCAUGUCAGAUGGAUCCUCACAGCUCGUGGGUCAGAAACAGUCCCGGUACUGCCAUCAGGGAAUCAGGAGAGGAAGGGUUAUGAUGCUGCUAGGACUUAGGCCGGCCAUCUGUGGAGAGGACAGACUGCCCAGGAGGAAGAAAGGGAAGAGGCCUCCCAGAGGAGCACCAGGAUGGGCUGGGAUUUCCCCAUCGGCCUCACAGUGGGAGGGAGUACCCAAGCAGUCCCUGCAAAGGGGCAAGGUCAGAAGUCGAGCUUAGUCCCUGCCUGGAUCUGGGCUGGCCAAGCUCCUGCUUUCCAUCAGUGGAUUCAGGAAUGGUUGGUGUGGCCUGAGAUAUUCAGUGCCCACCAGGACUCGCUGGGCCUACAGCUGGACAACAAGAGAAAUGAUUGAGUUGGACUAACUGCUGGUGAUGGGCCAAGUGGCCCUGUGCUCUCCCAGAAUUCUGCCCUGGGACAUGAUCCUGUAGGCUGCUGCUUUUUUCUUGGUCCCUACUAGGGCCCCAGCUGGCAUCCCAGAGACUGCAACCCAUCAGGGGAGUGUUGUGCUGUCUGUAAAGGAAAUUCAUCCUGUGCAAACUCGGGGAUGCCUAGCUCCCAAACCAAGAAGUUGGAAACAUCAGGCUCUUAAAAUGGUCAGAAGCAAGCAGGAUUGGGAAUUAAAACCAGAAGCUUUUGCAACUGGAACGAAGUUCAGAGAACAUCUACUCCAACAGUCCUCUCCUUUUAUAGAUAAGGAAACAGGCCCAGGAGAUUAAGUGACUUGGCCAAAGUCACACAAGAAAUUAGGGCAGAACUGGGACUAACCUCAUUCCUGAGGAUUGGACAACACUGUUUAGUCCUAAAGCUGAAUGGCGGGUGAGGGGUUAGGCUGGCGAGGCCUCCAGCAGUGUCUGCGCAGCUGGUACCUUCAGGGGUGUGUCAGGGAUGGGGAUGGGUGCCUGGGCUUGGGUUGUAGAGCAGCUGAGCAGCCCAGGAGGGCUCAGGACAGCUGUGUGCUGCUUGGGGUUGGGUGUCCGCCUGCCUCACACUCAGUACCCAUGGCCACCUCCCCAUUUUCUGUGCCUUAUCUCACUGUUUCAGCUGAGUCCAAGUUGUUUACUCUGUUCCUCUCCAGAGGGGCUUUCUGUUCCAGUUGGACAGCAUACCUUUGGGACAUAAGCCUUUGCCCCACAAGCCGUGGAGAGGUCCAAACUCAAGCUGCUUGAGCCCACUGUCUUGCUGACAGUCCAGGCCUGCCUGCCAGCCCGAGGAGCCCCUUAUGCACACCCAGUCCUGCCAGCCUGCUUCCGGGAGCCGAGAGUGGGGAAGGCACCUGGGAGGAGUCCCGGUGAAGAGCUGAACUUGAACCAAGGAGGCAGGAAGAAGACCUGGCUCUGUUGGGUUGUUCAGCCCUCGGGGAGCAGCCUUCCCUACUUACCUUUUCCUCUUGCUUCACCAAAUGGUCGCUCCUUCCAGAGCAGAAACUGGCAGACAUGCAAAGAAAGCCAGAACCCCUAUUCCUCACCUACAUGGGUCUGUGGCUGGGUGUCGGCCGGCAGAACAGGGACACCAAGAGAUGGAGAAGUGGGGACUGCCCAGCCUCCCAGCACCUUCCUACCCCUUAAGCAAGCACAAAGAAGAUGAGGCAGAGACCUGUCAGAGCUGAAAGUUCCUUUGGUCGCUCACAACUCAGGUAUGCACACCGUGUGGCAGCUGGGCAGGAGAGCCCUACUUGACCACCAGCCCCGUGCACACAGACCUGUGGCCAGAUUGUGGACUCUGGCUGCCUCAGGCGCCGCAUCUUUGCAUUGGGUUUUCCUCCAUUAGUAACUACAGCUGACACAGAUGUCCUCCACAUCGUGCACACUGGUUCUGCCUUUGUCCUCGCAAGUUGAUACUUGGCAUUAGCAUGAAACUUGUGGGUGUGGGAGGGUUUAGAGAGAAUUCUAACACAAAACAUCCUAUUAAAUUGUACUUGAGAGAUGAAAAAACUCCUGUUGUAUUUUGACAGAAUUAUUUUUAUUAAAAUACACAUCCAUGAG